rnacentral:rRNA from 1 species
UACGAAGGGGGCUAGCGUUGUUCGGAAUUACUGGGCGUAAAGCGCGUGUAGGCGGUCCGGUAAGUCCGCUGUGAAAGUCGGGGGCUCAACCCUCGGAUGCCGGUGGAUACUGUCGGGCUUGAGUACGGAAGAGGCGAGUGGAAUUCCUGGUGUAGCGGUGAAAUGCGUAGAUAUCGGGAGGAACAUCAGUGGCGAAGGCGGCUACCUGGCCCAAUACUGACACUCAGGUGCGACAGCGUGGGGAGCAAACAGG